rnacentral:rRNA from 1 species
UACAGAGGGGGCAAGCGUUGUUCGGAAUUACUGGGCGUAAAGGGCGCGUAGGCGGCCUGUUAAGUCGAACGUGAAAUCCCCGGGCUCAACCCGGGAACUGCGUCCGAUACUGGCAGGCUUGAAUCCGGGAGAGGGAUGCGGAAUUCCAGGUGUAGCGGUGAAAUGCGUAGAUAUCGGGAGGAACACCAGAGGCGAAGGCGGGUUACUGGGCUGAUACUGACGCUGAUGCGCGAAAGCUAGGGGAGCAAACGGG